rnacentral:lncRNA from 1 species
GAGGGAUGAGAGUUGAGUUGCGGUUGUACUGAAUACUUGACCUACAGUAAAAGGAAGCGGCUAAUUUGGUGCGAAGUGUCUUGGGCCACACUACUAGAUGUGUAUGCAGAUCUAAUCAAAAUUCGGGUGGUUUUUGUGAAUUAGAAAAAUGUAAAAAGUAUUACAAUUUUAGUGUCUAUUUUUCUUUUGUUUUCAGAGGACUUAGUGAUGUAUAAUAAUAUGCAUUCUAGUCCAAGAUAAUGAUUCAGGUGAAAUAUAUAAUGUUGAAAACAAUCCAGAGC